rnacentral:rRNA from 1 species
UAGGGAAUCUUCCACAAUGGACGAAAGUCUGAUGGAGUAACGCCGCGUGAGUGAAGAAGGUUUUCGGAUCGUAAAGCUCUGUUGUUGGUGAAGAAGGAUAGAGGUAGUAACUGGCCUUUAUUUGACGGUAAUCAACCAGAAAGUCACGGCUAACUACGUGCC